rnacentral:rRNA from 1 species
AACGAACGCUGGCGGCGCGCCUAAUACAUGCAAGUCGAGCGAGAAGACGUAGCAAUACGUUUGUAAAGCGGCGAACGGGUGAGGAAUACAUGGGUAACCUACCCUCGAGUGGGGAAUAACUAGCCGAAAGGUUAGCUAAUACCGCGUACGCUCCUUGGACUUCGGUUCAGGGAGGAAAGCGAUACCGUGGGUAUCGCGCUCUUGGAUGGGCUCAUGUCCUAUCAGCUUGUUGGUGAGGUAACGGCUCACCAAGGCUUCGACGGGUAGCUGGUCUGAGAGGACGAUCAGCCACACUGGCACUGCGACACGGGCCAGACUCCUACGGGAGGCAGCAGUAAGGAAUAUUGCGCAAUGGGCGAAAGCCUGACGCAGCGACGCCGCGUGGGGGAUGACGGCCUCGGUUGU